rnacentral:rRNA from 1 species
UCUGGGACAAGCCCUGGAAACGGGGUCUAAUACCGGAUACGACCACCGACCGCAUGGUCUGGUGGUGGAAAGCUCCGGCGGUGAAGGAUGAGCCCGCGGCCUAUCAGCUUGUUGGUGGGGUGAUGGCCUACCAAGGCGACGACGGGUAGCCGGCCUGAGAGGGCGACCGGCCACACUGGGACUGAGACACGGCCCAGACUCCUACGGGAGGCAGCAGUGGGGAAUAUUGCACAAUGGGCGAAAGCCUGAUGCAGCGACGCCGCGUGAGGGAUGACGGCCUUCGGGUUGUAAACCUCUUUCAGCAGGGAAGAAGCGAAAGUGACGGUACCUGCAGAAGAAGCGCCGGCUAACUACGUGCCAGCAGCCGCGGUAAUACGUAGGGCGCAAGCGUUGUCCGGAAUUAUUGGGCGUAAAGAGCUCGUAGGCGGCUUGUCACGUCGGAUGUGAAAGCCCGGGGCUUAACCCCGGGUCUGCAUUCGAUACGGGCAGGCUAGAGUUCGGUAGGGGAGAUCGGAAUUCCUGGUGUAGCGGUGAAAUGCGCAGAUAUCAGGAGGAACACCGGUGGCGAAGGCGGAUCUCUGGGCCGAUACUGACGCUGAGGAGCGAAAGCGUGGGGAGCGAACAGGAUUAGAUACCCUGGUAGUCCACGCCGUAAACGUUGGGAACUAGGUGUGGGCGACAUUCCACGUCGUCCGUGCCGCAGCUAACGCAUUAAGUUCCCCGCCUGG